AAACAAAUUAUUAAAAAAUUUCAUUCAUUUUAAAAAUAAAUAAAUAAAAAUCUCAAAUUGAAAAACAAAAAACAAAAAACAAAAACAAACGAGCCAAACCCAACCCACCUCCCCGUACUCAUCCCCGACACGACGCACCCAGAUCCACCCCUCUCUCCUCUCUAUCGCUCCACCAGAUCUGACAAGCUAAUGGAGGCGAGGCCGACCAGGUCGUAAUCCAACCAACCCAUCGAUAGAGCUCGGGGAGAAACUCGACCCACAUCUGUCAUGGCUCUGGCUCUGACGAGAAAGAGGAGGACGACGUCACCAUGGGUGAGUGGAAGAUACGCUUGUCAGUUCCUCCCACCCUGAUCGAAAGAAUUGGACACCCAAGAGGAGGCUCAAGAAGAAACUGGAUGGAAGCUUGUUAAUGGAGAUGUUUAUAGGGCUCCAAUAAAUUUUUUCUUACUUCGCGUUUACGUUGGGACGGGGUUUCAGAUCUUUGGAAUGACACUCGUAACCAUGAUAUUUGCAUUGCUGGGCUUUUUGUCUCCUUUCAACCGAGGUCUCAUGACUGCCAUGGUUCUCUUGUGGGUUUUCAUGGGCUUAUUUGCUGGUUAUUCCUCUGCACGGUUGUACAAAAUGUUCAGCGGUAUAGAGCACCUUAAAGACUGCCUUUAUGUUUCCAGGAAUUCUAUGUGGUGGGUAUUGGGGUUGGGGGAAGAUGAGAUGGGGAUGGCGUUUUCUGGGUUUGGUUUUAUUGUUCUUGUUUUUACUUUUUUGAAUUUUUAUUUUAUUUGAUUCUUUAAGAUAUAUUUGUCUUGUUCUUGUUUUUUAUGUUUUAAAUUUUUGGAGCGUGGGGAGUUGGGUGGAAUUGGGUUUGGCAGGUUUUUUUUUGUUUUGUUUUGUUGUUUUCAAUUUGAGUUUUUAUAUAUAUUUAUUUCUCUUUAAUAUUUAUUUUUAAAAUGAAUGAAUUUUUUAAUAAUUUAUUUGACCAAAUUACCCCUCUACAACUAACAGAAGUUAAAAUUUUUUGACAGAAAUUGAGGAUUGUCCUUGAAUUGCUUCAAAUUGAAACUACAAAGACAAAAUUGAUCAAAUUGAAACUAUAUGGACCAAAGUGAUAAAAGUAGUAAACUACAGGACCAAAAGUGACUUUUUGCCUUUAAAAAAAUCUAC
rnacentral:lncRNA from 1 species